UACAGAGGGUGCGAGCGUUGUUCGGAAUUACUGGGCGUAAAGCGCGCGCAGGCGGCUCUUUAAGUCUGACGGUGAAAUGCCGGGGCUCAACCCCGUGCCCGCCGCGGAUACUGGAGGGCUGGAGACACGUAGAGGCAAGCGGAAUUCCGGGUGUAGCGGUGGAAUGCGUAGAGAUCCGGAAGAACACCGGUGGCGAAGGCGGCCUGCUGGGCAGUGGCUGACACUGAGGCGCGACAGCGUGGGGAGCAAACAGG
rnacentral:rRNA from 1 species